UCGGUUUCUGGGUCAUAAUCAUAAGAUUAUGUAGGAGAGAUGGCCGAGUGGUUUAAGGCGUAGCAUUGGAACUGCUAUGUAGGCUUUUGUUUACCGAGGGUUCGAAUCCCUCUCUUUCCGUACCUUCCCCUAAUUCACUAACGUUA